UUAGUUGAAACCAAAAUAGAGGUAUGUUACUGUUAAUAACAAAAUUGAGAACAAUCUCCAAUUAAA
rnacentral:tRNA from 1 species